GCAACUAUAGUAUAAAUAUUACCCCAUAUUUUCAUUAUGGAAAUGAGAAAUUUAUUCUCUAGUAGCU
rnacentral:tRNA from 1 species